UACGUAGGGUGCAAGCGUUGUCCGGAGUUAUUGGGCGUAAAGGGCUCGUAGGCGGUCCAUCGCGUCGGGAGUGAAAAGCUGGGGCUUAACCCCAGUCCUGCUUCCGAUACGGGUGGACUAGAGGUAGGCAGGGGAGAACGGAAUUCCUGGUGUAGCGGUGAAAUGCGUAGAUAUCUGGAGGAACACCGGUGGCGAAGGCGGCAUUCUGGACUGUAACUGACACUGAUGAACGAAAGCCAGGGGAGCAAACGGG
rnacentral:rRNA from 1 species